ACCAAAACAACCAAGUUUUGUUAUUUUUAUUACCCCAAGCUCCCCAGCCAUGUUCAGAGGCGCUCAGGCAAUCCCAGCAGAAUCACCAGGAGGGGCUGGGUGCUGUUGGACCUUGUCUCACCGUGGAUAUUUUCCAUCACCAGCUCUCUCUGGCUGCACCAUCAGUCCUGGCUGAUCCCUGGGGCAGGGCUGGUCCCACGGUGGGGUUUGGCCAUUGCUGUGCCCUUCUCCAGCUGCCUGUCAGCAAUUAAUGAGCCCCCAGGGGAUUUCCUGAUUUUCAAAUUGUUUUCUUAGCACUUAAAUAGGAGUAGUUGUGAGGUGGGAGCAGGGUGGGCACAGGAGUGAGGAAUUCUCCUGGAUUAUUGUAAAUGGGAUCUUCACCUGGGUGCAGGGGAAAGAGGAAUUUCCCUUCCUUUGCAAGCAUGGAAUUUUCAGUCAAAAGCUGGAAUCAGGCCUGUUCACCCAUCUGUAAUCCCUUCAAAUUCCAUUAAUUGAAAAUGCUGCACCAGUAGAGAGGGGAAAAAAAGAAAAGAAAAAUAAAUACAAAAAAAAAAUUGUUAUAAGGGAAAAAGCCAAAGUUGUUUGUCAAAGUGAUGCAGCAGAAGAAGUCUGACUCUCCAGGAGUGCAGGAGGGACCAAAGCUGAAGCUCAGAGGUCUCCAGGCUGUUCCUGAGUUUCACCUUGCACAGACCCCUGCUCCUCCCACACUGGAGCUUCCACAGGCAGGAACUGCAGCUGGCUCCCACAAGGAACCCUUGGAAUAUCCAAAUCCUUGGAAUGUUUCAGCUGCAGAAAUUCCAGCAGAGUCCUGGUUUCCAUCUGAGAGUGUGGGGAGCAAAGCUCAACUCCUGCUUUUAUGUCCAGGUUCAUUUUUUAUCUCAGGUUUCAGUUUUCUGUUCUGCUCACAGCCCCAGGAAAGGGAAAAUCAGGUGAGCUUUUGUUCCAUGUUCUGUACCAGAAAUUCCAGCCCUGGUUCAGCCAGUUCCCCCUAAAACUCAUCAAAACCAGCCUUUUGUUUCUGAAAAUGCUUUUUGUAAGAAAAUGCUCAACCAGCUUCACUCAGGGUACUGUGGCAUUAACUGUAAAUAAUAAUUAUGAGGAGAGGAUUUAAAAAACCUUCACAGGUUCUGAUUAGGAUAAAGACCUAGAUUAAACUUGCCUGAAACACUGGAAAACAGUAGUUAAAUCCUCUGAUGUGCUUUGUUAUGUUCCUGGCCAUGAAAACCCUGGAAAAGAAGGGGAUUAGCAGAAAAUGCAAACCAGAGGGGGAAAUUGCUCUUCAGGAGAAAUUUGAAGUUGUUACACCAAAUUUACCUUGGUGAGAGCAGAGCUUUCUUUGAGAUCUGGGGCACGAGAUGUUUUGCCUCAAUUUUCAUCCACAGCUUUUCAAAAGCCACAAGAAGGUGCAGGUCACCCCCAUGGAAAGCCAGGAGACUCCUGAGGAAAAACAGCCAGCAGGGAUUUUUAAAAUAAUCAAAGAAGAAUAAACCAUGAACAAGUCCCAGAAAAAUGCUCAGGAGGCGGAGAGUUCAUUUUUUAAACUGAUCUCUUCUCCCUGCAGAAUCUUGCUCCCACCUUAUCAAUAUUUUAGGAAAGAAAGAGAAACCUUGUGCAGCUGCAGAAGCAAUUUGGAGGGAUUAAAAAUUUAUCCUGUUUUGAGCAAAGCUUUCAGCAGGUGCUGGAAUCACUUAAUCAAAGUGGAAUUUCACUGUGAUUAUGAUGUUGGAUGGAACAUUUUGCUGAAACAAACCAGGUGUGGAGACACCACCUGGGAGACUUUUCCCAAAUUUCCUUGGUGUGUUUGGCACUGGGACAGCCGGGGGACAAACCCCAGAGGAGCUGCCCAGCCUGGCCAAGGACAGGGCUGUGGGAUUUCCCUGCUCUGGACGGGGCACAGAGACCCCAUCCCUCUGCUCCUCACUCCCACCCACCAGGAAUAAUUGCUUUCAUCAACACCACUCAUCAGAGCAAAGAAUAAUCCGAUUUCCUGGCGUGGUAAGAGCUGCUGUGUGUCAGAGUGUGAUGGGUUACAGCAGGGCAGGGAGAUCGGAGGGGAAAUGUGGGCACAGGUCCUGUUGGGACGUGGAAAAAUGCAAAUUGGAGCUUCCUGGGGGGAAAAAACAGGAACCAUUUGUACUCCCCAUGGUCCUUGGGGCCCUCUGGGAGCUCAGGCUGGGCUUUAGGAUCUGUGUCCCCAGUUCAGGCUGGGCUUUAGGAUCUGUGUCCCUAAUUCAGGCUGGGCUUUAGGAUCUGUGUCCCUAAUUCAGGCUGGGCUUUAGGAUCUGUGUCCCCAGUUCAGGCUGGGCUUUAGGAUCUGUGUCCCCAGUUCAGGAUGGGCUUUAGGAUCUGUGUCCCUAAUUCAGGCUGGGCUUUAGGAUCUGUGUCCCUAAUUCAGGCUGGGCUUUAGGGUCUGUGUCCCCAAUUCAGGCUGGGCUUUAGGAUCUGUGUCCCCAAUUCAGGCUGGGCUUCAGGAUCUGUGUCCCUAAUUCAGGCUGGGCUUUAGGAUCUGUGUCCCCAAUUCAGGCUGGGCUUUAGGAUCUGUGUCCCUAAUUCAGGCUGGGCUUUAGGAUCUGGAGGAGCUUUUGGGGAGAGGUUCUCAGGUGGAGAAUGGGGUUGGGGUGGGGCAGGGGCACAGAACAUUUGGGGUGUCCGGGACAGCCCUGGGAUGUGCCCCAGCACACAGGAGAGUUUCCAUCCUGGGGGGCAAACUCUGUCCCAGCUUCGAUUCUGUCCCAGUGCAAACCAGGAGUUGUUGGGAACAAUUCCCAGCUCAGUUUGGGCUCGAGGGGAAGGAAAUCCCCUCCCUAAACCCCUGUCUGGGAGGACAAAUGUUCUCCUGGCCUUGGGAGUGCUCUGGUGUCCCACACAUCCAAAGUGCAGACGGACCCAGGGGAGAAAUAACCCAGUGAAAGGGGGGAAAAUACAAAAUAUGUCUUUUCCAGUCAGAGGAUUCCAACUUUGGACCUCAGUGCUGGGCAGGUUUCUGCAGCAUUUGUCACAGGUAAUUCUGGCAAUCUAUUCCUGGCUGAAGUGUAAAUAAUUGCUGCCAGAAUGCCAUCGUGGUGCUGAGGAAUAUUUCUCCAACAGAAGAGAAACAGCAUGUUGAUUCUUGAACCACAGAAAGCUAUAAUUGUCAUUUAAAAUCUGGCACGUUGUUUAAAAUACUGAAUUCUUUAUCUUUUGGAAUCUUUAUAAUUAUACAUCUAAACCAUCACUCUGAAUACAUUUGCAAGUGUUGUUCCAUUUUUAAGAUCUUCCCCAAUUUAAAUAUCAAGGCCCGAGAGAAAAAUGAAAUUAAAAAAUCCUACCUGCACAGAAAGCAGAACCCAUUCUGUUUCAAAGCUAUUCAUUCCUGUUAUAGUUACAAAAAAAAAAAAGUUAUAAAAUUAUAACACUUAUUUAAAAUGUCUUUUCUCACACAAUAGCAAAUGUUCCUGCUCCUCCUCUCACCAUAAAACCACCAUAUCAAAUACCUUUUUUCAUGAAAUGAUAGAAGUGCUGGGGGAAAAACCCACAGAAUAUUAAAACUUCUCAGCUUCAGAGAUGCCAAACUGUUAUCAAGGACUGUGAGAGGGUACAAAUUUUCAGAAAUAUUGAAAGGAGAGGGGAAAACCCCAAGCUUUGACAAGAACAGGAUGAUCCCAGCCACUGGCUCUUGCUCACAGCCCAGAAUUUCAGCCGUGAGAUAAUCAGGCUUCCAGGGGCUGGUGUGGAGAAGGCUCUGCCAUGGAUCAGGCUCUGAUCUCUGGCCUGGCUCUCAUUGUGUGCAGUUAUGCACUGGAAGAGUUUUAGAAUAAAAUAAUAAUAAUAACCCCCCCCCAGGAGCAGGGGCUGUGAGACAGGAAAAUCCCAGAUCCCUGGGUUAGCUCUGCCCUCCUGUGAUGUCUGGAUGCAAGCAGAGCUCCUGAAAAUGCAGAGCCUUGGGCUGGAGGGUCUGGUGCUGAUCUGCCCAGGGAACGCUCUGCCAGGAGGGAAGAAAGGAAGCCGACACUGCUCUACCCACAAAGCGCUGUGAAAUGGGAUUACAGGCACGGGAGGGGCUGCCAGAUCCUGAGGGUCCAUGGAACAAUCUCCACGUGAGUUCCACCAUGGCGGCUGGCAGCCAAAGGGCAGUGGAAGACCUGCAGGUGGUCUUGUUCCUGAGCUGAUUGCUGACUCCAUGGGUUAUCAGCCCCAAGGAACGCCCCAAGGAACAUCCCAAGGAGUGUUCCAAGGAAUGCCCCAAGGAACACCCCAAGGAACAUCUCAAGGACUAUCCCAAGGAAUCUCCCAAGGACUACCCCAAGGAAUAUGCCAAGGAGUAUCCCAAGAAGUAUCCCAAGGAACACCCCAAGGAAUCCCCAAGAAACAUCCCAAGAAAUACCCCAAGGAGUAUCCUAAGCAGUAUCCCAAGGAACACCCCAAGGAAUCUCCCAAGGAAUACCCCAAGGAAUCCCCAAAGAACAUCCCAAGGAAUCUCCCAAGGAACACUCCAAGGAAUAUCCUAAUAAAUACGCCAAGGAACAUCCCAAGGAACACUGCAAGGAAUCCCCAAGGAACAUCCCAAGGGAUAUCCCAAGGAAUCCCCAAGGAACACUGCAAGGAAUCCCCAAGGAACAUCCCAAGGGAUAUCCCAAGGGAUAUCCCAAGGAAUCUCCCAAGGAACACCCCAAGUGCUGUUUGUGUGCUCCUGGUGCCACCCGUGUGUUUUUGGUCAGCUGGAGGAAGAGAAGCCAAAACUCCACCACACUUUGCUUAGAGAGAAAUUCUGUCCAAGUGCUGUGAGCAGUUUGUGGGAAGGAUCGGAGCUGCAGCAGUCCUGCAGUGACAUGCUUGAUUGCUGGGGAGAGGAGAUGUAAUGAUUCUGGACAGCAACUGUCAGGGUUAAGAAAGUUAUUUGUUCCAUUGGUUUAUGGCACAGACUAGUAGUAUUUUAUUGUCAAACAGAAUUAGUUUUAUAUCAAGAAGAGUGAUUACUUGGGUUCACUGUGUUUGAGAUUAAACUUGAUGAUUUCAUGUCCAUUAUUGAUUUAGGCUUUACAUUCAGAGGAGUAGCAGUUUAUAUUUUACUUAAGGGGAUUUGAUCACAGUAGAUGGAAUCUUCAAUGGUUUCUGCAAAUAAAUUAGUAAAGUUGCUGUGCCUUUUACAGUAACUGCAGAAGGAAAGUGAAAGGGGGUUUAGCUCAACUAAAAAAGUGCAAAAAGAUGGCAAAAAUGCUGCUGAGCUUUUGGAGGGUGUAGGGACACCUGAGAACGGGGUGCAGAAAAGCAGGAGCCACCCAGGGGGUGCUGAGCCCCUGGCACUGGGCAGCUCCAGGUGAGGCAGCACUGCCAAAGCCCCAGUGCACUCCAUCUCCUCUAAUUCAUCCUGAAAUUACACCCAGGGAGAGAGGGACAUCCAGGGGACAUUCCAGCCUCAGAGGAGGGCCAGAUGUGGGAGGCAAAUGUGCAAAAUAAUGCCUGUGCCUAAAAAUCCCUCCUGAAACCCCCUAA